GUGCUCGCUUCGGCAGCACAUAUACCAGAACUGGAAUGAUACAGAGAUUAGCAUGGCCCCUGUGAGAUGCUGAUGUGCAAAAUUUGUGAAGCAUUCCGUAUUUUU
rnacentral:snRNA from 1 species